rnacentral:rRNA from 1 species
AUUGAACGCUGGCGGCAGGCCUAACACAUGCAAGUCGAGCGAGCGGCGGACGGGUGAGUAAUGUCUGGGAAACUGCCUGAUGGAGGGGGAUAACUACUGGAAACGGUAGCUAAUACCGCAUAACAUCAGAUGAGCCCAGGUGGGAUUAGCAAGGAGGUGGGGUAACGGAUCACCUAGGCGACGCUCCCUAGCUGGUCUGAGAGGAUGACCAGCCACACUGGAUCGGAGCCACGGUCCAGACUCCUACGGUAGGCAGCGGUGGGGUGUAUUGCACAAUGGGCGCAAGCCUGAUGCAGCCCUGCCGCGUGUGUUAAGAAGGCCUGCGGGUUGUAAAGCACUUUCAGCGGGGAGGCGUUACCCGCAGAAUAAGCACCGGCUAACUCCGUGCCAGCAGCCGCGGUAAUUC